rnacentral:lncRNA from 12 species
GGGACGUCAGCAGGACUUUAGUCCCCACAGAUGAGAUAGAACAGAGUCACUACACUGUGGCUCAAGUGAGUGAACCACCAGGGAGCUCCGGGCACUGAUGGAGGAGGGGACGCAGAACAGGACUCGGGGACGUGGUCAGUGGGAACGAGGGCGGCGGCCCCGUCAAGCAGGCUGACCCCCAAACGCUUCAGGAAUCUGGAUUAAACAUUCCUUCCGGGGCUGAGGACGGUGACUGAGCGCUUACAGGUUCGCUCCCGGCUCCCUCCCUGCCUUCGGAGGGGCACCUGGUGGCCGGGGCGACAGGACUGGGCCGUGCAGGCAGGUCCCUGUCCCUGUCCCUGCGGGGCUGCCCUCGGUCCACAGGGGCUCUUCCCGGCUGCUUCAGCUGCUGCAGAGGCCUGGUGCAGACGUGGGCCCCAUCCCGCGGGCCGGUGCACGGAGGGCGCACCCUGGGGCCACCCCGGCUACUACCAGGGCCCUGCUGCUCUCCCCGCACCCAGACGGUCUCUGUAAGGGAUGGUGCAGAUUUUGAGGCAGACACUCAUUCUCUCCACUUCUCCCGUCCUUCAGCCUCGCUGAGCCUGGUCUACACCUUCUCCUCAAUGCCGGAGUAGGCCAUGGUUUAUGAGGAUCUAUCCCAGCCUACCUACCUGACGCGGAGAGCUCUUUACCUACGGAGCCCUGCAGAGCGGGUCUGGGGUGCUGCAUCCUGUGACCGGGUGUCAUGGGGAGACGUGUCACCCCUGCCCGGGAGGAGCUCUCCAUCCAGGGAACAGCGCACCGUGCCCCUCAGCGAGCACAAGCAGCAAAGAAGGAGGCUUUAAGGGAAAAUUCAGUCAAAUGAGAUGAUAAAGGCUGAAAAAUUGUUCUCGAUACGUUUCCAAAACAUCCGUUUCCAUACGGAGACAGAAUGCAGCUCAGCUUUGAUCUCGUGUCAAAACAACAGGUAAUAACACCGUGAACUUUUCCAUCUCCCACUACUGAGAUCAAGGAACCUGGCAUUCAUCUUGGUAAAUAAUCUGUUAGCACCGAACUCCAGGCCAGCGGGAGGGGGGAACCCCUCCCCCACCCCUGCACCCGCCCCCUGGGGAGCACACUCAAUGGGGCCAGGUUCCCCAGCAUUCUCUGGUUGCUAAGGCCCAGCUUUUGCCAGGCAAAUGGGGAAGGUGAGUAGGAGGGUGGGCCCCCUGGGGAGACUGCCAGGUAAAGCUGCCCUCUCGGGCCUCCUCGACUGGUGUUCAAGUGCAAUAGGGCGUUGCUUGAAAGUAAGCUGAAAGGCUGUGCAUGUCCCGGCAGGGCCAGCGCCAGCUCCGCAGUUGCUCCGAUUGGAAUCACUCCCUGACUCACCGCUAUGCCAAUUUAUUUUGUUGCUUAUAUUCAUUAGAUUAAAAUGAUUUAAUUAGGCAGUGAAGUGUGGACUUGUUUGGUGUG